rnacentral:rRNA from 1 species
AGCUACGGCCAUACCACCCUGAACGCCCCCCAUCUCGUCUGAUCUCAGAAGCUAAGCAGGGUCAGGCCUGGUUAGUACUUGGAUGGGAGAAUUAUCUUUUCUAUCCU